CAGUCGAUUAUUAUAAGUUCAAUAUAUCUGAGACACCUACUGAGUCGCGGAUUUUGGGUAAAACGUAAAAAUUUUAACGUAAAAUGUAAAACGUAAAAAUUUUAACGUAAAACGUAAAACGUAAAAAGUUUAACGUAAAACGUAAAAAGUUUAACGUAAAACGAAAAAAAAAUUAACAUAAAACGUAAAACGUAUAAAGUUUAACGUAAAACGUAAAAAUCUUAACGUAAAACGUAAAAAGUUUAACGUAAAAACGGCACGCAAAAUAAAAUUGUUUUGUUAAAAAAUAUGAAUUUAAAAUGCUUUUAAUAAAAAAAAUUAUGUAUAAAAAAUAAAAACUAAUAUAAUAAUACAAAAAAAGUAAUAAAAAUAAUAAAGACAAAAAGACAAAAAGGGUAAUUUUACUAAACUACCCUUUUGCAUUAGAAUAUUAAAAACACAAUAAGACAAAAAGUAUUUAAUAUUAAUUUUAAUUCCUUUUAAUCCCAACCAUCCAUCCAUCUUGAAGAUCUAAUGGUUGGAAAGUGGUUCUCUCGGUUCUCACAAUUGGGUGAUCAUUACAGAACACUAACUAUUGCGAGUACAAAAAGAACAACUCUAAAUAACUAAAUUUUGGGAUUUAAGGUUCAUAUUUCUUAAAUUUUAUGUUUCUUACAUUCAUAUGUGUACUAUAUAUAUACAUAAAAAAUCAUAUACUUUUCUGAUGUGCAAAUAUGGUCCGUAAAAACUACUAACCUAAUCUAGACACCCUAGUUUUAAAUUUAUAAACUACGACUCUCUAAAUGCUAGACCACUGACAGGCAAGUGUACCUAUCGUACGUAGUAAAGCCUAAUGAAGUCCGAGUAUCGAACCCACGAGACACUAGCGACGCUAAACUAGACUCUGACUCAACUAAUACUUAACUGGUUUUAAUUUGUAUUUUGAUUUUUUCCUAAUUAUACUAACAUGAGUAAACAAAAGAACAAAGAAAGCAAGCAAGGUGGUGAAGUGACGGGAAGCAGACAGUGAUGAGAGAGAACUACCUAGGUAUCGAAUCUCUAGAAUCAUGCAAUGCUAAUGUGACAACGAUAACGGUUAAAUAUCUAUUUCCCUCAAUUGACCACCCGCUAGAGAUGUCCCAAAUGAAAAAGCAAGACUAAAUGUGAAGUGCUAGAACGAACCGGCUCGAGCUAUCGAUACCAAAUCCUACGAAAAUAGAAUCCUUUUGACCUCAGAGACAGUUAUGUUAAGAGAAGAUCCCAAAAUCGCAAAGCAACCCAACUUUGAUAAUUGAAAUCUUAGGAGACCUUAAUUACGAUGCAAUAAACGAGCCCGAGCUAUCGGUCACCCAAUCUACCCACCAAUAAUUAGCUAAUAACCUAGCUCACCCUAAUCGUCUUUCGAGUCACAAGCUGAGGAUGCAAGUUUUAAUAUAGUGGUUUCAAUUAUUAGUCAACUUGAUCAAUUUCUCAACACAAUAUCUAACCCGAAAAUCCUAAGAUCAACGAAUUAAAUUAAAUCCUAAGUCUAGGGGGAAUUUCUUCGUGCCUAAACCGCUGAAUUUAUUGACUAAUAAAAUAACCAAAA
rnacentral:lncRNA from 1 species